AAAAAAUCCGAUCUGGCUGUGACAUCUGUCACCCCAUUGAUUGUGCCAGGGUUGAUUCGGCUGACCCGGCUGGCUAGGCGGGUGUUCCUUCCUCCUUCACUGCUCCAUGUGCGACCCUCCUGAAGCUGCGCGUGGUGGCUUUCCUGAAAGAGAGACAGACUGGUCUUCCGUCGAGGGUAUGAGUAGCUGCGCUCCCCUUCUAGAACCUCCAAAAAAUAACAUUACCUAAGUUAUUAUUUAUUAACGCAGCGUUUUGUAGUACACAUGCAUUGAGUGAGGAGGAAUCUGGUCACCAAGCAUACAGAU
rnacentral:snRNA from 1 species